rnacentral:rRNA from 1 species
UAACUGCGAGUGAAGCGGGAAGAGCUCAAAUUUAAAAUCUGGCGUGCCUUUGGUCGUCCGAGUUGUAGUCUGGAGAAGCGUUUUCCGUGCUGGACCGUGUACAAGUCCCUUGGAACAGGGCGUCAUAGAGGGUGAGAAUCCCGUCUCUGACACGGACUACCAGUGCUUUGUGAUGCGCUCUCGAAGAGUCGAGUUGUUUGGGAAUGCAGCUCAAAACGGGUGGUAAAUUCCAUCUAAAGCUAAAUACAGGCGAGAGACCGAUAGCGAACAAGUACCGUGAGGGAAAGAUGAAAAGCACUUUGGAAAGAGAGUUAAACAGUACGUGAAAUUGCUGAAAGGGAAACGCUUGAAGUCAGUCGCGUCUGCCGGGACUCAGCCUCGCUUCUGCUUGGUGCACUUUCCGGUUGACGGGCCAGCAUCGAUUUUGACUGUCGGAGAAGGGGUGGAGGGAAUGUGGCACCUUCGGGUGUGUUUAUAGCCCUCCUCCGUAUACGACGGCUGGGAUCGAGGACUGCAGCRCGCCUUUAUGGCCGGGGGUUCGCRCCCCACGUUUAACGUGCUUAGGAUGCUGGCUUAAUGGCUUUAAGCGACCCGUCUUGAAACACGGACCAAGGAGUCUAACAUGCCUGCGAGUGUUUGGGUGGAAAACCCGAGCGCGUAAUGAAAGUGAUAGUUGAGACCUCUGUCGUGGAGGGCAUCGACGCCCGGACUUGAUCUACGGAGACGGUUCCGCGGUAGAGCACGUAUGUUGGGACCCGAAAGAUGGUGAACUAUGCCUGAAUAGGGUGAAGCCAGAGGAAACUCUGGUGGAGGCUCGUAGCGAUUCUGACGUGCAAAUCGAUCGUCAAAUUUGGG